rnacentral:rRNA from 1 species
AUGGCGGACGCGCAACCCCUUCGUUGGUGCGCCGACGACGAGGCCAUCUGUGGCCCGUCCACUGAGGGUAUGAUGCAACUGAGCUCGAUCGUGCCCCUUGCGGCGGCCGCCAGAGUCCUGCUGGAGGUUAACGCCGGGAUGGGAGUCGGCGCUAAGGCGGGCGUGGGAGGGGUUGGAGUCGGAGCUAAUGCUAAGGCUGGAGGCAAACAUUUCAAACACAAAAAGGCGGGAGGCAAAGGUGCUAGCCCUGCCCCGCCCCCAUCCGCCGUCGACUGCGGCGACAACAGCGACCCCUGCGUCGGCGGGGGCGGGAAUGGCUACGGCUAUUACGAUUACGCGGACUACCCCUGA